GUCUGUGAAAAUUGGACGGAUUGGACUAGUUGACGUUACUACAUUCGGAUGGAGCUCCAGAUUGACAAUGAUCAGUUCUUGUCCUUCGCCAGGAGGUCAAAGGAGGUGCAACGUACGUGUGAGGAGGAUGUGCCACAGGCAAUAUCUUUCCAAGAGCACAAUGAUUUCCCAAAGUAUGAUGAGGAAUUUUGGGAUAGAAUUGUACAUCAGCCCAGUGAUGAGAGUCUCCAAGUCAACUGCUCCACCUCCCCUAGAGGCUCUAUGAAUUCAAAGGUAGUCACGCGGGGGCAAGCCUCAGGACGUCGACGGGGUGAAGCUCUGGGUCCAAUAGUAGAGCAGCUGCCCUCCCCAGCGGAGCUAAUGCAGCACAGGCAGAAAGGGAAGCGAAGCGCAGAGGUGCAGAGGGCACCAGCGUUACAGCCUAAAAUGGCCGCCGUGUUGCACCACAUAGGAGAUCUGAAGAGAAGACAGAGCUCCAUUGACCUGCUCAAGAGAAACUCCUGGUGGAGCAAUGGCAAUACCUUUGGGCCAACAGAAGACGACGCGACUGGGCACAAGGAUCUAACAGAGACUAGGGAUGAGCAAUGUCUGGAGUCUUUUUCCAGAGACAGUUUAAAGGAGACUCCAAUGGAGAUACAAGAUAUCCCCCACACAUAUACAAAUGCUGCAUUGUACAGCCACAAGAAUGUGUUUCCUGGGUGUGAUCAGAUGCCGAGUCUUGCGCCAGGUGGAAAUCCCAUGAUGGCUUUUGUUCUGGCGUCCGCGGACCGGCAGUCACAGAGGGCCUGGCAAAGCCCCGGGCUGCCGCAAGAACAAUUAUGGGGAUUUGAGAACAGAACUGGGAAGUGAAAAUGUUAUUUUUCUGAGGCAUACUACACUCAUUUAUUUCAGAUGGUGAAUUCUAUCCUUAGUCAUGUUUGUCAAUGAAUGUGGUCGUUCACGCAUAGAUCUGUAGUUUCAACUAGAUGGUUAUGUCCUCAUGAUACCGCCAUAAUCAAAUCUUUGACAUUUGGUUUAAUUAAAUAACAUUUUACUCAUUUUAAUGUAUUUAAAAAAUGGUUUAAAAGUUAUUGUUGUCAUUGAC
rnacentral:lncRNA from 1 species